rnacentral:rRNA from 1 species
AUUGAACGCUGGCGGCAGGCUUAACACAUGCAAGUCGAACGGUAACAGGGAGAAAGCUUGCUUUCUUUGCUGACGAGUGGCGGACGGGUGAGUAAUGCUUGGGAAUCUGGCCUAUGGAGGGGGAUAACUACGGGAAACUGUAGCUAAUACCGCGUAGUAUCGAAAGAUGAAAGUGUGGGACCGCAAGGCCACAUGCCAUGGGAUGAGCCCAAGUGGGAUUAGGUAGUUGGUGGGGUAAAGGCCUACCAAGCCGACGAUCUCUAGCUGGUCUGAGGGGAUGACCAGCCACACUGGAACUGAGACACGGUCCAGACUCCUACGGGAGGCAGCAGUAGGGAAUUUUUCGGCAAUGGGGGAAACCCUGACCGAGCAACGCCGCGUGAAGGAA